rnacentral:rRNA from 1 species
UUGAGUUAAUUCUUACUUUAAUUUGAUUUGAAUAUAAUUUUAUUAUGAGAAAUAUCUUUAUUUUUAGUAUAUUAAAGAAUAAAUUUGUUAAGUGAUAGUUUAUUAGUACUGUGAAGGAAUGAUGAAAUAUUAUGAAAAUUUCUUCUUUUUUAAGUAGAUUUUAUUUGUUGUACCUUUUGUAUCAGGGUUGAUUAAAUAUUUUUAAUUUAUAUUAUUUUCUCGAUUUUAAAAGAGCUAGGAUCAUAUUACUUUUAAUGUGUCAUAAUUUUAUUUAAUGUGAUUUUGGCGGAGAAAUUCUAUUCGAUUUUAAAGGUAUCUAGUUUUUUAAGAGAUGAAUUUAAUUCUAUGUUUAUUUAUUAAUUAAUUGAUUUUUUAAUUAAUUAUUAAUGAACUUGAAUACUUUAGGGGAUGAGCUCUAAAUUAUUUUUAUAAGCUUUUAAUUUCAMUUAAUUCCUGUAGGAUUUGUAACGUCCAUCAUUAUUAGUACGUUAUAGUUUMMAUUAMUUUUGUUUGAUUUUUUGGGCUUUAAUAUUUUAUUAAAAUAGAGUCUAUAAUUUUUAUUGAUUUGUAAUAAUGAUUAUAUUAGUAUAUUUCUUUGUAAUAUAUUUUUUAAUUGGGAUUAUUAAAUAAGGAACUCGGCAAAUAUAGUUCUCGCCUGUUUAUCAAAAACAUGUCUUCUUGCUUUAUAAUAGGAAGUCUGACCUGCCCAGUGAUUAUUAUUUAACGGCCGCGGUAUUUUGACCGUGCAAAGGUAGCAUAAUCAUUAGUCUUUUAAUAGGAGGCUGGCAUGAAGGGUUUGACGAAGUGCUAACUGUCUCAUUUAAUUUUAUAUUAGAAUUUAACUUUUCAGUGAAAAGGCUGAAAUGUAAUUGGAAGACGAGAAGACCCUAUAGAGUUUUAUAGCUUUAAUUUUUAUUUAUUUAUUAAUCAUUUUUAAUUUUUAGGUUAUUUUGUUGGGGUGACAAGAAUAUAUAUUUAACUUUUCUAUUUAUUUAUCAUUGAUUUAUGUUUAUUAGAUCCAAUCUUAUUGAUUGUUAGAUUAAGUUACCUUAGGGAUAACAGCGUAAUCCUUCUUGAGAGCUCAUAUCUACAGAAGGGCUUGCGACCUCGAUGUUGGAUUAAGAUAAUGGUUAGGAGCAGCGUCUUAAUACAUAGGUCUGUUCGACCUUU